CAGUCGCCGCGGUAAUACGAAGGGUGCAAGCGUUAAUCGGAAUUACUGGGCGUAAAGCGUGCGUAGGUGGUGGUUUAAGUCCGUUGUGAAAGCCCUGGGCUCAACCUGGGAAUUGCAGUGGAUACUGGGUCACUAGAGUGUGGUAGAGGAUAGUGGAAUUUCCGGUGUAGCAGUGAAAUGCGUAGAGAUCGGAAGGAACAUCUGUGGCGAAGGCGACUAUCUGGGCCAACACUGACACUGAGGCACGAAAGCGUGGGGAGCAAACAGGAUUAGAUACCCCUGUAGUCCCUGUCUCUUAUAA
rnacentral:rRNA from 1 species